rnacentral:rRNA from 1 species
GAUGAACGCUGGCGGCGUGCCUAAUACAUGCAAGUCGAGCGAACAGACGAGGAGCUUGCUCCUCUGACGUUAGCGGCGGACGGGUGAGUAACACGUGGAUAACCUACCUAUAAGACUGGGAUAACUUCGGGAAACCGGAGCUAAUACCGGAUAAUAUAUUGAACCGCAUGGUUCAAUAGUGAAAGACGGUUUUGCUGUCACUUAUAGAUGGAUCCGCGCCGCAUUAGCUAGUUGGUAAGGUAACGGCUUACCAAGGCGACGAUGCGUAGCCGACCUGAGAGGGUGAUCGGCCACACUGGAACUGAGACACGGUCAGACUCCUACGGGAGGCAGCAGUAGGGAAUCUUCCGCAAUGGGCGAAAGCCUGACGGAGCAACGCCGCGUGAGUGAUGAAGGUCUUCGGAUCGUAAAACUCUGUUAUUAGGGAAGAACAAAUGUGUAAGUAACUAUGCACGUCUUGACGGUACCUAAUCAGAAAGCCACGGCUAACUACGUG